GCCGCUGGUUCACUGCUGUUUCGUUGGUCACACCUUCGCAAGAUGGUAGCGUCCGUUGGAUUUGUGAUUUCAGUGUUCUGUUUUUGCAGUAUUCGGUUAUGAACCUCACCAUGUUCUCCCCAUCCGCUUGGGUGGCCUGGACCUUGUUGGAUUUAUGCCACUGCCAAAGAUGAAGAUUCUUAGUAGUGCGAUGUGUUUAAGGUUCUUAAGUGCACUCUGGCUUUGUUGAUAGUCCAUGAAACAAUUCGUUACUGCGCCACAAGGACUAUUUGAAAGUACAAGACGAAAAACUGGAUAUGACAAACUAAAAUUAGGAGUUCUGUGAUGGCUGUUCCAAUAUCCAAUCAUAAGUUCUUGCAAGCUGCAUUCAGGGAGUACAAUAGCGGUCAAGCUGGAGUGUGUUUAUUUGAAGAGCCAUUACAGGGAUACAAGCAGCUUCGAGUAUGUGAAGUUCAAGGUUCAUGUUGGAGUGUGUUCAUUUGAAGAGCCAUCACAAGGAUACAAUAGUUUCGAAUAUGUCGUGUUCAAGCAGCUGGAAUGGAAUAUGCCCUCGUGACUGAACACAUAAGAUGUAAAAAUUGUAUAUUUGCUUGCUCAUAGAGUUUUCAGGAGUUCCUUUACUUAAAAUUUCAA